rnacentral:lncRNA from 13 species
UGUUGUUUUGAGGGUGACAUUUCAACCACAGGAUGAUGUCAUCAUUGUAAACUAAAUUCAGCAUAGCCAAACCUUGUAUAAAAUAGGUUGAAUUUGUACCUUUGAAACCAUGUCAGAUUUUCAACAUUAUAUACACUUUCAGAAAAAAACAAUAGGCAGCACCUCAGCCCGGGAUCGAACCCCAUCCAGGGUUUUAACUACACCCAGCCCUGCUUAGCUUUAAUAUGUCACUGACUACUACCAAUAUGCUAUUGUGAGAAUUAUUAUUGAGAGAUCUCUUAUUAAUAACAAAAUAUAUUCCGUGUUAAUAUCGAAGUCAUUCUAAGGGGUAGGUUUGACAAAGAAAAUGAGUGAGUGAGUCUCUGACAUGAAGACAGUGAUUAGAUUCUGCCAUUGGGACUGCUCUGAUGUUUCCAUUCUCUCCUGCUUAUGACCAUAGAGCCUUGUCCCAGUCUCUAGACCUGCCUGUCUGUGUGGUGGAUGACCACCUGACCUCUGAAGCUGUCAAUGAGAUGGAGCAGAGCAAUUCUACCAGGAGCAGAGCAACCUCAGUGAUGGAAACCACAGAAAAUCAGAAGCUCAACAAUGUGGAACAUCUGACACUUAUGGACUUCCUUCAAAACCUAACUGAGAAGCAAUGGAGGGGGAUUCGUGAGGGCAUGUUUGACCCGCUGACAAAACAACAGCUUGCCGGCUUGUGUCUGAGGAUUGUCCAGUUUUUAUCGGACAAGCUGAUGCAGAUCAUCAUCCCAGGUCUUUACGAACUACUGGGCAUCCAAGAUACUGCCUCCUCUCCAUUGUCACAGAGAUCUCUCACAGCGUCACUCACCAGUCUGUUAGACGAUAAGACUAACACCAAGUCCCGCGUGAGAUUUACUGAGGCUGGUGUACCUAAGAGGCCAGGCAGUCGAAAGUCUUACAAUAGCUUUCGCAUCCCGACUCCCUACCCUUCCUCCAACUGUAUGGAGCAGGAAGAGGAAGAAGAGCAGGAAUCACAACUUAAGUUCAAGGAGAUUUACCUGACUAAGGGCAGUCUGGGCAGUGGAAGCUACCUGCCCAAGGGGGCCAUGAGGUAUGUUCUUAAAGGGAAAUUUAACAACUUCAUAUUCAUCUCCAGCAUCACCAUAUGUUCACCAUAUGUGAAAAGUACACAUUUCCAUGCUUUGUAGUAAAUUCAAAUAUUUAAAAAAUAAUCACGGUUUUGGAUUUCAAUACUUUUUUUAGACAUUGAAUGCACUAUGGAUUAUGUGUGUUGAAUGCUGUAACAACACAUAAUAAAACAAUGAAUAAAAGUCCCAUGAUGGUAGUGACUGUCCAUUAGUGUUUAUGACUUAUCAACCAUCAUUUACUUUCUCAUAUAAAAUAUUUAUUUGAUGACUUUAUUAUUUCAUUCCAAGUCAUCAACUCAUCUCUAUAGAGCUGCUGCUUAUUCUGUCUGACAAAAUCACUAUUUUAGUAGUUCUUCUAAGUAAAUAAGACCUACUUUUAUGACCGCUGAACACAAACUGUCAAUCACUUAGAUCAUGUAUUUCCAGGUAGAGAAUCCUCGCAACGCAACUGCUUUUUAUCUCUCUCAUGCAUUCUCUCGUCUCUCCGUCUCAGUCAAUGAGGUUUCCGUAUCUGCUCCACACAGAGUGGACAAGCAAGUGGGCGUGCAAUGGAUUAUGAGAAUUAAUUGCCGUAUUUUCUGUGCUAAACUAUGUAGAAUAUUGGCCUGUUGGAAACUACAACUCCCUACUCCCUACUACAUUGCAUAGUUUGUGCUUGAUCUGAUUUAUCUCUACAGAAACUGAGCAUCGAGCUCACAGAAGAAGAAAAAAAUUUACUAUAUGGAAUUCAAAUAAUUGAGCCGACGUCGGUCAAUUAGUUGUUUAAAAAACGAAAAAUAACAAAAAUGUUGGUUAAAUGCUCAGCUCUAGAUUCUAAUGACAUCAUCAGUGUGCAUCGUGUGAUUUUAACCAAUUAUGAGUAGGCAUUGCCUGCUAAUUGGUUGAUGAUGUCAUAGAAAACACUUAUCUUCCUCUUUCUUUUUUACUACAAAACAUAGAAAUGCCCGUUUUUCACAUAUGCUGAUGUUGGGGUGGUGCUGGAGAUGAUGAAUAUGAAGUUGAAACAUUUAGAAAUUUCCCUUUAACAUUUCUUCAAACUGUCCUUGAAGUUAUUAGAAGUUACAGUAUUUGAAGUUUAUAGCAAUUUGGAUUUUUGUAGAGGAUAGAUGUUGCCAGGAUAGAUAGAUAUCUACAGGCCAGUUUCAAUACAAAUGACUUAUACAAAAUACAUUUUAUUGGGCUUUAGAAAUUAAGCAGUUAGGCUGACAUCACACUAAGGUUUUUUUCUCAGAGAAACAGCAGCGUUUUCCUCAUUGUUUUCAAUGGUGCAGAUGUAUUUGACACACUGAAUGUGCAUCACAGCCUUACAUAUUAUUUGUUUGACUUUGAUGAUUUCUGCGGGGUUUUUUCCCAAGGACUCUAACCUCUCUGUCUGAUGUGCAGAAGAAAACAACCAACUCUGAGAUGCUACAAGUCCUCUUAGGUGUCUCAGAGGACACCCUUGUCACCUGUGUGCAGGACAGCCUGCAAGGUUCUCUCUCCAAACUUGCAUGCAUGUCCAAUUCUCCAUCUGGAAGUACAGGCUCUAUGAUGCUAACCCCUGCUGUAAUGGCAGAGUUGGCUAAAGAUGUCAAGUCGGCCUUAUCAGUGGUCGUUAAGAGUGCCUCCGCUAGCCAAACCUCUGUAGUGACACCGGUAAGGGGAGACUCACAGACCAAGGUGACUGAGAGCAUGGUGAGAGAGCUGGCUGCUAAACUUGAAAAAGUUGACCAAGAGAGCAAGAGUCUAACAGGGCAAGUCAUGACCAUGAUCUCUGACACAAUGGUGGCUUUUGUUGACGAGAACAAACAGAAUUUGCUGGAAGAUCUGAAGGACAAGAUCACGUUUUUGGCAUCGCAUGUUGGCUUCAUUGAGGAUCUUGAUGCCCUGAUAAGCAAAUACGAGAGCAGCUACAAUAUUAGUGAAUCUGGUUCCUCCUGCACGCUCACAUCUAAGAGCAUCCAAAAACUCUCUAGCCGGGAGUUUCAAACAUCAGCAAUACAAGCAGUGAGUGGAGUUCUNNNNNNNNNNGGAGUACUUCUCCUGUCCUAUUCGGUGUCCUGUGUGAAUCUAAGUGUGCGUUCUCUAAUUCUCUCCUUCUCUCUUUCUCUCUCUCGGAGGACCUGAGCCCUAGGACCAUGCCCCAGGACUACCUGACAUGAUGACUCCUUGCUGUCCCCAGUCCACCUGGCUGUGCUGCUGCUCCAGUUUCAACUGUUCUGCCUUAUUAUUAUUCGACCAUGCUGGUCAUUUAUGAACAUUUGAACAUCUUGGCCAUGUUCUGUUAUAAUCUCCACCCGGCACAGCCAGAAGAGGACUGGCCACCCCACAUAGCCUGGUUCCUCUCUAGGUUUCUUCCUAGGUUUUGGCCUUUCUAGGGAGUUUUUCCUAGCCACCGUGCUUCUACACCUGCAUUGCUUGCUGUUUGGGGUUUUAGGCUGGGUUUAUGUACAGCACUUUGAGAUAUCAGCUGAUGUACGAAGGGAUAUAUAAAUACAUUUGAUUUGAUUUGAUUUGUGGUACCAGAACUAAUGAGAAAAAAGAUCACCUAUUAUAAUAGAGCAUUGAACGCAUAUCAUCACAUUUGGGUAGAGCAGUAGAGUAGAGCCAUUUACAGUAGGUGAACACAUGGGGAACAUUUUUAGUAGCCUAGGGUCCGGGAAAGUGUUGGCCUUUUUAAAACCGCAUUUCGUGCAAUUCUACAUCCUUUUACAUGACUGGAGACUUUGGCAUUAUCUUUUUUUAAUCCGCACAAAUGAUCGAAAUGGCAGGCUACUUUGACACUGACAAACUUAGUAUCUGAGAUCAAUAAAAACGACCUUGUCUUGAAUCCAUCAAUAGCCUAUAGGCCUAGGUUUGUGGAGAAACAUAUAGUAGGCUACAAUAUGAGGAGGAAAUUAGUCCUAAAAAUGCUUUCCAGUUUCACUGACUCACCCAAUGAUGCGCAGCUCACUCGCUGGAGAUUGUCGAUGCGCUCGUGUCAAAAGCCUAUCUCUCCCUCUCUCUGUUUUGUAAAACAAUGUUU